GAUGAACGCUGGCGGCGUGCCUAAUACAUGCAAGUCGAGCGAACAGACGAGGAGCUUGCUCCUCUGACGUUAGCGGCGGACGGGUGAGUAACACGUGGAUAACCUACCUAUAAGACUGGGAUAACUGCGGGAAACCGGAGCUAAUACCGGAUAAUAUAUUGAACCGCAUGGUUCAAUAGUGAAAGACGGUUUUGCUGUCACUUAUAGAUGGAUCCGCGCCGCAUUAGCUAGUUGGUAAGGUAACGGCUUACCAAGGCAACGAUGCGUAGCCGACCUGAGAGGGUGAUCGGCCACACUGGAACUGAGACACGGUCCAGACUCCUACGGGAGGCAGCAGUAGGGAAUCUUCCGCAAUGGGCGAAAGCUUGACGGAGCAACGCCACGUGAGUGAUGAAGGUCUUCGGAUCGUAAAACUCUGUUAUUAGGGAAGAACAAAUGUGUAAGUAACUAUGCACGUCUUGACGGUACCUAAUCAGAAAGCCACGGCUAACUACGUG
rnacentral:rRNA from 1 species